rnacentral:misc_RNA from 1 species
GAUGAAGAACGUAGCGAAAUGCGAUACGUAAUGUGAAUUGCAGAAUUCAGUGAAUCAUCGAAUCUUUGAACGCAUAUUGCGCUCUCUGGUAUUCCGGAGAGCAUGCUUGUUUGAGUAUCAGUAAACACCUCAACUUCCAUAUCUUUUUUGAAAUGGGAGUUGGACUUGAGUGAUCCCAACGCUUUUCCUCACCGAAAAGUGGCGGGUUACUUGAAAUGCAGGUGCAGCUGAACUUUUCUCUGAGCUAUAAGCAUAUCUAUUUAGUCUGCCUAAAAAACAGAUUAUUACCUUUGCUGCAGCUAACAUAAAGGAGACUAGUUCUUGUGCUGACUGAUGCAGGAUUCACAGAGACAGCUUCGGCUGACUUUGUAAACUCGAUCUCAAAUCAAGUAAGACUACCCGCUGAACUUAAGCAUAUCAAUAAGCGGAGGA